rnacentral:rRNA from 1 species
GGCUGGCGACCCAACCCGACGAAAGGGGAGGCACGGUCCCCAAAGGAGUGAUCGGUAACUGGGGUG